AGAGUUUGAUCAUGGCUCAGAGCGAACGCUGGCGGCAGGCCUAACACAUGCAAGUCGAACGGACCCUUCGGGGGUUAGUGGCGGACGGGUGAGUAACACGUGGGAACGUGCCUUUAGGUUCGGAAUAGCUCCUGGAAACGGGUGGUAAUGCCGAAUGUGCCCUUCGGGGGAAAGAUUUAUCGCCUUUAGAGCGGCCCGCGUCUGAUUAGCUAGUUGGUGGGGUAAUGGCCCACCAAGGCUACGAUCAGUAGCUGGUCUGAGAGGAUGACCAGCCACAUUGGGACUGAGACACGGCCCAAACUCCUACGGGAGGCAGCAGUGGGGAAUCUUGCGCAAUGGGCGAAAGCCUGACGCAGCCAUGCCGCGUGUAUGAUGAAGGUCUUAGGAUUGUAAAAUACUUCACCAGUGAAGAUAAUGACUGUAGCCGGAGAAGAAGCCCCGGCUAACUUCGUG
rnacentral:rRNA from 1 species